UACUUCUUGAUUUUUUCUAAUUGUCGAACCGCAGUCAUUCUUCAUGUUUCACUAAGUAGCUGCAUUCAAUUUCAAAGUUAAACCAGAAGUUUUUUUUUUUAAAUCUGUUAACUGCAAAUAGAAAAUCCGAUUUCUCAACAAUCAAAAAAUCCUAUAUGACUCUGAGAGUGAAUAGUGCCUAGUGAAUUUGGUUCUUCCUUUCCCUGUCGAUUUAUAAAAAAAAUGGGCAUUGGAGCAGGUAUAAUAGGGUCUGAAAAGGGCCUUAACUGAUCCUCUCGGCGUUGUCAGACUUUUUUUUACGAAUUUAAUGGUUGUGGACUCUAUAAUUAGGAAAUAAUAAAAAAAAUCACCCAAAAAACCGGUUGCGAAAAAAUCUUUUGAAUGCCUGAGAACUUUCACAUUCAUCGGAAGACAGUGUCUAUAACGUUAUCACUGAUUUCUCGUUUCAAAAUAACAUCGCGUGCUGUGUGUGGAUUGUGAUAGUUAGAUACUUUCCAAGAUACAAUUAUUCUUUAAAACUUUUGAUUCAUCACACUACUUGGUUCGCAAUUGGGUAGUAAAGCCUUUUUAGGACCUAAUCAGUAAUAAUUAGAUACUAAAAUUAAAGGAGCACCUUAUUUUAUGGCUAAAAUCUGAGAUAUUGAGAUCAAGAAUAACAAAAUGUUAGCAGAAUUAUCCACAUGUCAUCGAUGCACUUUUGCGAUAAUGAUACGCGCUACGGUGCGGAGGAAGUUGAGAAGUGAUGAAUGGGUGGUAGUUGCGUUCGAGCCAAAAGUUCUUUGCACAUAGUUAUAGAUUGAAUUUUAUUGGCCGAAUUAGCUAAAUCUUGACGAAAAGUUCAACGAUCGAGGCAAAAGUCGACAUGGAGUUCACUACGCCGUACCAUGUGGGGAACAUGACCAGCAUUGUGGAAGCCAAAGGGGUACCACAUGUGAGCUUUGGCUCACAAAUUGUUCUUACCUUGGUUUAUCUCACAGGAGUCGUGGGGAAUCUUUCGGCACUCUUCAUACUUUUUCAUAAAGAUAAGAGAAGAAAUCCAAAACACCUUUUAAUGCUACGAUGUCUGGCAAUCAACGACUUGGUGGCUUUACUGGGGAUGCUGGUACAAAUGUACGUCACAAUCUAUGUUGCAGGAUCGAAGUCAUCCCGAGCUAUUUGUUCGCUAAGGGUGAUCUGGCGGCUUUUUGGACUAUUCAGUGGAUGUGUUGCCAUUGUCAUGGCAGCAGAAAGAUGGCUUGCUUUGACAAGACCCUUCGUUUAUCAAAAGCGUGUGACUUUUCCAAUGAUAGUACGAUUUAUGUUGGUACUUUGGUUGGGAGCUUUGGCAUUAACCACGUUACCACUUUUUGGAUUUGGUCUCUAUUUUAAAGAUGGAAAAUGUUGUCGUUAUAGAGAAGCCACGGAAGCUGGCGACAUUGCUUACGCCUACAUUUGGUUUUUCUUCGGUAGUCUUUUGUGUUUUUCCAUUGUGUGGUGUAAUUUGGCAGUUUCUCGAGCCCUCAGCAGACUGGGUCGUCGUGCUGCAAAUAUAAGACGUAUAUCACGUGCUAAAUCGAAGGCGAAACCUCUUUUAACGGUCGCUGGUCCACCUCAAGACGUAGUUGCUACAGCCGAAGAAAGAGCUUUUGCACGGCUUAUGGCUAUAUUAUCAAUAUCUUUUGUUGUCUGUUGGAUGCCUCAAAUGGUUUCUAUUCCAUUGGCACAAUAUGGAUUAAAAGUGGCAAAGAGUGCGACUAUUCUUCAUAAGAUUCUGCGAGCCUUUCAUAUAAUAGCUGAUAUCCUUAUGUGCAUUCACUUUACACUGGACCCAUACAUUUACGUCAUUCUUCAUUUGAGACGCCCACAUUUCAGCUUGCUGAAACCAUUCUGUCGUAUUUGUCGGCCGCAUAGGAGUCGCUCGAGUUCCUUCACAGGAACUACUGACCAACAUUGCAGCAGUGCUGAUUCGCCGACACCUAUAACCGAUGUCCCAACUACACCAGUCAGCGAAGAACAUGAGCCUCAAUUCGUUUCAGUAGCAGUUUGAAAUCUUAUACUUAUUAAAGUCAAGAUUAAAUAAUAAUUUAUCGCAUAUUUAGAUAAGUAUAAUAUUCUCUUUAGUUGCUUGGAAAAACUUUUAAAUCAGUAAAAUUAUGAACUAUCCAGAAGGUUCUUCAUCAAAGAACACCAACCUUAUAGUUAGGAAUAGAGUAAUUAUAAAUGUCUUACACAUUUUACCCCUUAUUAUUUUUUUAACUUUUAUAUUUAGUGUAUUUUUUGAAGCCUUACAAGUAUAAACAUGACAUGUAGAUUCUUGUUUUGUACCUAUACCUUGGAUUAUUUUUAACUAUAAUUUUAUGUACUUACAUGUAUCAUUAACGUUUUGAGAUUCUAAAAUUAAUAUGAUUUUUAAUAUUUCGAAUCUGGAGAAACACAUUUUUUUGUGAAUUAUAGCUUCAAAGAAAAAUAAUUUUUUAGGCUCUGUUUUAUACAGGUCUUUAUAAAGGAGAUCGAAAAGUUUUGUGAGAAACAUAUUCCCUCCUGACCACUUUCCGUGACAAUUCCCUGCAUGAAAAGGGAGGAAAAGGAGGUUUGAUAUUUAAACCGGAACAAACAAAAAGUAACCGGGAAUUUUGUCGUAAGAAAAUUAGUAGACACUCGGAUUAAAAUCUGACGCAAAAACACGUGCAAGUUGUCCAAUUGGCGGCAAGUCCAUAUUAUUUCUAGAGAUGUAUAUGAAAAUAGUAUUUCUAUUCUUUAAGUUCAAUUAAUUAUAAGUAAAAUUUUGAUUUAGAUUAAUUUCUCUAAUACAUUUUUUAAUUGUAAACUAGAUUUUGUAUUGUAAAUAAUUUAAUUAUUUAAAUGAUAUUAACAUACGAAAUUACCAAAAUAUCUUUUAAGUGUUUUCAAUUUACUAUUUGUGAGUCUCUAUUAUUACUAUUAUUAUUACUAUUUGUAAUGACUGCCGUAGCUACUAACAAAAUUGCUCGCAAAAUUGUUCCUAGGGAAAGAAAAAAUUAAGUUUUGAGAUAUAUUGUAAUAAACAUUCCAUUAUUGAAUAAAAUUGAACAAAAAGCUCCGAUCGCUUGUUUUCGCAAGUGAGAGUGAUGUUCACAUUUGGAUAAAUUUUUAUUGGUUCUUAUGGGUUUUACAGGCACCGUAUGAAUUAGAUGAAAAUAAUUUAAUACACCAAACUCUCGCCUAAAUUCGUUAGAAACUUAUGGAGUAUGCAAAUAAACACAUUUAAUUUGCAAUUUAAAAAUAUUAAGGUAAUUAAAUGAGAUAAAAUGUAGCCGUUCCUUUAAAUUGGACCAGAUUGCACACAGCAUACAAACUUUCAUCAAGAUCGGUUAAAUAGUUUCGGACUUUAGUGGUGACAAACACCGUGACACCGGAUUUAUAUAUACAGAUACAUAAUCUCGCAGCCGCUCUCGCCGUGCUUCCCUGAGAAACUGUACGAGCCAACAGUUCAAGCAAGGCUAAGAACGGGGUGACUGAAAGCGAGAGUUUGGUGUAGUAGAAUAAUCUAAGUUAGAGUUUUAAGUUUCACUCAAAUCUGAUGCUCCUUACAACUUAAAAUAUAUAAAAACCUAUUACUUCAAAUUUAAUUAUAGAAGAUUCGUCAAUUAGUGUACCUGUUAAACUUUGUGAAGUAAUAUCGACUUCUGGUCAGUAUAAAUGUAUCCAUUUUUUAUUAAGUGAGGAAUAAAGUAUCAAGAUUAUGCCAAGUUGUCAAAUGAAAAUGUAUCUAUGUAUCCUAAUAUUAUGUAAAUUAACCAAUUAACGUAAUUUCAGAAUUAAGAAA